GGGUAGAGUACUGAAUGGGCUAGGGGGCCUACCCGCCUACCGAACCCAAUCAAACUCCGAAUACUGUCAUUCCGUAUCACGGGAGUCAGAAUGUGGGGGAUAAGCUUCAUAUUCGAGAGGGAAACAGCCCAGACCGCCAGUUAAGGUCCCAAAUGCAAGCUAAGUGGUAAAGGAUGUGAGAUCACGGAGACAACCAGGAUGUUGGCUUAGAGGCAGCCAUCAUUUAAAGAGUGCGUAAUAGCUCACUGGUCAAUGUGAUCCUGCGCCGAAAAUGAUCGGGGCUAAGCUUGCAACCGAAACUGCGGAUGUAUAGAUUUAUCUAUAUAUGGUAGGGGAGCGUUCCUUGGUAGGUUGAAGGGGUAUCGUGAGGAGCCCUGGACGAAGAGGAAGUGAUUAUGCCGGUAUAAGUAGCGAAAAACACCGUGAAAAACGGUGUCGCCGAAAGUCUAAGGUUUCCUGGGGAAGGUUAAUCCGCCCAGGGUUAGUCGGGCCUAAGCUGAGGCCGAAAGGCGUAAGCGAUGGACAGCAGGGUAAAAUAUUCCUGCACUACCGAUUUUCCGUUUGACGCUUGAGGGGACGCAGGAGGCUAAGUCAGCGCGCGGUUGGAUGUGCGCGUCCAAGCCUGUAGCCUAUCUUUGAUAGGUGAGGGGUGUUAGGGAGUCUAAUCUACGGAGCGGACGAACUGGCUGAGGCCAUGCUGCCAAGAAAAGCCUUUGAGUGUAGGGGAAUAGGUAUCCGUACCGUAAUCCAACACAGGUAGACGAGGAGAAGAUCCUAAGGCGCUCGAGAUAACUCUCGUUAAGGAACUCGGCAAAAUAACCCCGUAACUUCGGAAGAAGGGGUGCCUCGUGAGGUGAAACCUUUUACAGGUCGAGCCUUGUGAGGCCGCAGUGAAGAGGCCCAGGCGACUGUUUAGUAAAAACACAUGUCUCUGCUAAGUCGCUAAGACGACGUAUAGGGACUGACACCUGCCCGGUGCUGGAAGGUUAAGGGAAGAGGUGAAAUCAUUCAAGACGUAGCUUUGAACCGAAGCCCCAGUAAACGGCGGCCGUAACUAUAACGGUCCUAAGGUAGCGAAAUUCCUUGUCAGGUAAGUUCUGACCCGCACGAAUGGUGUAACGAUCUGGGCGCUGUCUCAACGAGGGACUCGGCGAAAUUGUAGCAGCGGUGAAGAUGCCGCUUACCCAUGAAAAGACGAAAAGACCCCGGAACCUUUACUGUAUCUUGGUACUGAAUUUUGGUCCGAUAUGUGUAGCAUAGGUGGGAGGCUUUGAAGCCUUAUCGCUAGAUAAGGUGGAGCCAUCAGUGAAAUACCACCCUUACCGUAUUGAGGUUCUAACCUGGUCCUGUGAAUCCAGGCCAGGAACAAUGCCAGGUGGGCAGUUUGACUGGGGCGGUUUCCUCCUAAAAGGUAACGGAGGAGCCCAAAGGUUCCCUCAGUGCGGUUGGCAAUCGCGCGU
rnacentral:rRNA from 1 species